rnacentral:rRNA from 1 species
UAAGUUGAUAGUGAAAGCGUUCGGCUCAACCGGAUAUCCAUUACCAAAACUGCAAAGCUAGAGGACGAGAGAGGUUAUUGGAAUUCCCUGUGUAGGAGUGAAAUCCGUAGAUAUAGGGAGGAACACCGAUGGCGUAGGCAGAUAACUGGCUCGUUUCUGACACUAAGGCACGAAAGCGUGGGUAGCAAACGGGAUUAGAUACCCCGGUAGUCCACGCCGUAAACUAUGGAUGCUA